rnacentral:rRNA from 1 species
UACGAAGGGGGCUAGCGUUGCUCGGAAUGACUGGGCGUAAAGGGCGCGUAGGCGGAUGGCACAGUCAGAUGUGAAAUUCCCGGGCUUAACCUGGGGGCUGCAUUUGAUACGUGUUGUCUUGAGUUCGGAAGAGGGUCGUGGAAUUCCCAGUGUAGAGGUGAAAUUCGUAGAUAUUGGGAAGAACACCGGUGGCGAAGGCGGCGAC